GAUGAACGCUGGCGGCGUGCCUAAUACAUGCAAGUCGAGCGAACGGACGAGAAGCUUGCUUCUCUGAUGUUAGCGGCGGACGGGUGAGUAACACGUGGAUAACCUACCUAUAAGACUGGGAUAACUUCGGGAAACCGGAGCUAAUACCGGAUGAUAUUUUGAACCGCAUGGUUCAAAAGUGAAAGACGGUCUUGCUGUCACUUAUAGAUGGAUCCGCGCUGCAUUAGCUAGUUGGUAAGGUAACGGCUUACCAAGGCAACGAUGCAUAGCCGACCUGAGAGGGUGAUCGGCUACACUGGAACUGAGACACGGUCCAGACUCCUACGGGAGGCAGCAGUAGGGAAUCUUCCGCAAUGGGCGAAAGCCUGACGGAGCAACGCCGCGUGAGUGAUGAAGGUCUUCGGAUCGUAAAACUCUGUUAUUAGGGAAGAACAUAUGUGUAAGUAACUGUGCACAUCUUGACGGUACCUAAUCAGAAAGCCACGGCUAACUACGUG
rnacentral:rRNA from 1 species